rnacentral:rRNA from 1 species
UUUACGGAGAGUUUGAUCCUGGCUCAGGACGAACGCUGGCGGCGUGCUUAACACAUGCAAGUCGAACGGUGAACCCGACUUCGGUCGGGGGAUCAGUGGCGAACGGGUGAGUAACACGUGACCAACCUGCCUCUAGCUCUGGGAUAACUCCGGGAAACCGGAGCUAAUACCGGAUACGAGACCUUGCGGCAUCACGAGGUCUGGAAAGUUUUUCGGCUAGGGAUGGGGUCGCGGCCUAUCAGCUUGUUGGUGGGGUAAUGGCCUACCAAGGCGACGACGGGUAGCCGGCCUGAGAGGGCGACCGGCCACACUGGGACUGAGACACGGCCCAGACUCCUACGGGAGGCAGCAGUGG